rnacentral:rRNA from 1 species
AAAGUUUGAUCCUGGCUCAGAUUGAACGCUGGCGGAAUGCUUUACACAUGCAAGUCAAACGGCAGCACGGGAGCUUGCUCCUGGUGGCGAGUGGCGAACGGGUGAGUAAUACAUAGGAACAUACCCAGUAAGGGGGGAUAACGCCGAGAAAUCGGUGCUAAUACCGCAUACGCCCUACGGAGGAAAGCGGGGGAUCUUCGGACCUCGCGUUAUUGGAUUGGCCUAUGUCUGAUUAGCUAGUUGGUGAGGUAAAGGCUCACCAAGGCUUCGAUCAGUGGCUGGUCUGAGAGGAUGAUCAGCCACACUGGAACUGAGACACGGUCCAGACUCCUACGGGAGGCAGCAGUGGGGAAUUUUGGACAAUGGGCGAAAGCCUGAUCCAGCCAUUCCGCGUGAGUGAARAAGGCCUUCGGGUUGUAAAGCUCUUUCGGCAGGAACGAAAUGGUCACGGUUAAUAACCGUGACUUCUGACGGUACCUGAAGAAGAAGCACCGGCUAACUACGUGCCAGCAGCCGCGGUAAUAC